rnacentral:ncRNA from 1 species
CAACUGAAGAGUUUGAUUCUGGCUCAGAUUGAACGCUAACGGCAUGCUUAACACAUGCAAGUCGAACGGCAGCACAGUAGUAGCAAUACUAUGGGUGGCGAGUGGCGGACGGGUGAGUAAUAUAUAGGAAUCUGCCUUGUAGUGGGGGAUAACCCGGGGAAACUCGGGCUAAUACCGCAUAAUCUUUACGAAGCAAAGUGGGGGAUCUUCGGACCUCAUGCUAUAAGAUGAGCCUAUAUCGGAUUAGCUAGUUG